UACGGGAGGCAGCAGUAAGGAAUAUUGGUCAAUGGACGCAAGUCUGAACCAGCCAUGCUGCGUGAAGGAUGAAGGUCCUCUGGAUUGUAAACUUCUUUUAUAUGGGACGAAACCUCUUAUUCUUAAGAGACUGACGGUACCAUAGGAAUAAGCACCGGCUAACUCCGUGCCAGCAGCCGCGGUAAUACGGAGGGUGCAAGCGUUAUCCGGAUUCACUGGGUUUAAAGGGAGCGUAGGAGGGCAGGUAAGUCAGUGGUGAAAUCUUCGAGCUUAACUCGGAAACUGCCGUUGAUACUAUCUGUCUUGAAUACCGUGGAGAUGAGCGGAAUAUGUCAUGUAGCGGUGAAAUGCUUAGAUAUGACAUAGAACACCAAUUGCGAAGGCAGCUCGUUACACGAAUAUUGACUCUGAGGCUCGAAAGCGUGGGGAUCAAACAGGAUUAGAUACCCUGGUAG
rnacentral:rRNA from 1 species